CGAGGCAAUACAUGAGAAUGAGCAGGGCGCUAUAAAACACGUGUUUUAAAACACUGGUGCUAUAAAACACGCUAUGCUACAUGUUUUAUAGCGCCCUGGAUUGAGUUAAUGCAUAAAAGCCUCCAAGAAAAAAAGAAAAAAGCCACUUAUUAUAACAACACGUAAAAAGAAAAAAUCAAGGAAGAAAAAUAAAAAUAAAAAGCAAACAUCUAUAUCGUCCUUCGUCAACAGUCAACCUUCUGGUUCGCCAUGGUCCAUGUACUGUAGAGUCACACAGCAGUUCUUGAUGUACUAUUUAAAAAACGAGCAGGAGUGUUUUAUUAUAGGUUUAAAGCCACGAGCGCGCAGCGCGAGUGGCUUUAGACCUAAUAAAACACGACCCGCGAGUUUUUUAAAUGACUUCAAAAACGUAUGCGUAAUAAG